rnacentral:rRNA from 1 species
GUCCAGACUCCUACGGGAGGCAGCAGUGGGGGAUAUUGCACAAUGGGGGAAACCCUGAUGCAGCGACGCCGCGUGGGUGAAGAAGUAUUUCGGUAUGUAAAGCCCUAUCAGCAGGGAAGAAAGAAGACGGUACCUGACUAAGAAGCCCCGGCUAACUACGUGCCAGCAGCCGCGGUAAUACGUAGGGGGCGAGCGUUAUCCGGAUUCACUGGGUGUAAAGGGAGCGUAGACGGCCGUGCAAGCCAGGAGUGAAAGCCCGGGGCCCAACCCCGGGACUGCUCUUGGAACUGUGCGGCUGGAGUGCGGGAGGGGCAGGCGGAAUUCCUGGUGUAGCGGUGAAAUGCGUAGAUAUCAGGAGGAACACCGGCGGCGAAGGCGGCCUGCUGGACCGCGACUGACGUUGAGGCUCGAAAGCGUGGGGAGCAAACAGGAUUAGAUACCCGCGUA